CACAAGGUUGGUCAUAUUACCAAUCAGGUAAGAUGUGAAACCCAGGUUGAAGAGCAUGAAAAAUACAAAAAACAACAUUUCCCGGGGGUUCUCAGCAUGAUAUUGAUCUGCAAUGAGGUAGUUGAAACAUCCAGCACAAUGUACUGCAAAAAGGGUGACCUGAUAUAUAAAAUUAAAUAGUUGAAGCGGAUAUCUUUCUCAAGCCUGAAGGAAAGUAACAAUGAGGGAAAUAUAUUAAUAUUUGUGCUGCUUCUUUAAAAUGAAGACUCAGUGACUGGAAUGGAGCUGUUGAGCAGACAUCAAAGGCGAACCAAGUAGAAAGGUACCUGAAAAGUUUGUCAACUAGAAGAUAAGAGUGGCUGUCAAGAUAAGCAACAAAGAAGGUGAUGAAGGCAAACUCAAAAGGACAAAUCCAAGCAGAGUAAAUCACAAGAAUGACCAGCCACAUCUCCCAUGCCCUGAAUUCAUCAGUGAGCC